CUAUGGGCGGCUGCAGUGGGGAAUAUUGCACAAUGGGCGCAAGCCUGAUGCAGCCAUGCCGCGUGUAUGAAGAAGGCCUUCGGGUUGUAAAGUACUUUCAGCGGGGAGGAAGGGAGUAAAGUUAAUACCUUUGCUCAUUGACGUUACCCGCAGAAGAAGCACCGGCUAACUCCGUGCCAGCAGCCGCGGUAAUACGGAGGGUGCAAGCGUUAAUCGGAAUUACUGGGCGUAAAGCGCACGCAGGCGGUUUGUUAAGUCAGAUGUGAAAUCCCCGGGCUCAACCUGGGAACUGCAUCUGAUACUGGCAAGCUUGAGUCUCGUAGAGGGGGGUAGAAGUCCAGGUGUAGCGGUGAAAUGCGUAGAGAUCUGGAGGAAUACCGGUGGCGAAGGCGGCCCCCUGGACGAAGACUGACGCUCAGGUGCGAAAGCGUGGGGAGCAAACAGGAUUAGAUACCCUCGUAGUC
rnacentral:rRNA from 1 species